AUGUCAUCACCUUGUGUAGUUAUAAUCUCCCUUUCUUACACAAAAAAGACAACACUGGAGCUGUAGGGAUUCGUAGACCUUGUCCUGUCCAUCUCCUUCAAUGUACAGGAAAGGACAGUGAAGACAGGGAGCUCAAGUGACCUCCUCCAGGGUAUAUAGCUGAAUUCAACUGUCCAGAUAGAAAGGUGGACAUGGAAAAAUUGGGCUUUGCAAAUGGUCACCCAAUUCUUGCCUUCCUGGUCUCCAGAUCACCCUUCCUAUACCGCCACUCUGGAGAAAGAAGUACAGAACGCUAACAAGGAUGGCUUGGAGUUGCAGUGGUCACCUCAGAUCUUAAGGUCACUUUGGAGAUGGAACCCCUGUGACUAGGAAUGGCAGAACAGAAAGCACUCACAGUGUGUGCUACCCUUCUGCAUGGUGGAAUUGUGGGGAAGUAACUACUAGCCAGAGACUACCUCAAGGCCUCUUUCAUCAAGGAGAGGCCCAUAUGAUUAGUUUUCACCAGUGAGCUAGAUACAGAGGACCUAACAUACAACUCAGAGUCCCUAGAAGAUGGAGAAAACACAGACAAUUGGCAGAGGAGAUGAGCAUGUGAUUAUUGUUACCACUUGUCUGGAAGCAACCAGAAUGGAGUGGGGAAGACUCAAGGAGGAGAUCUUCACAGGACUCACCUCUCAUCACAGCUCCCGUGUGGUUGUAAUCACCCCAGAGGGAAAAAUAAUUUCGGUUUUUUAUGGUUUAAUUAUUGGUGAUAGCAGCUGUUUUGAAGACACAAACACAGAAGCAAGUUCUAGAACAUACUCACAGUUUCCUUGGUCACAGUGUUGUCAGUGGUUCUAUAAAGGUCUUAUGAAUCUCUACUUAGUUGACCACAAGUAGUAAGCAAGAAACAAUCCUGUAAAGAGAAUGGAGGUCAGAAUAAAGAAGCCUUGAGGGUUUAAAUCGCUUCUUGAAAAGAAAUGCCCGUGUGUCAAGGAGCUAAGGGAGACCAGCCCAGGAGGAGCUGAAUCCUGCCAACAAUCACUUGAGUGAACUUGAGAGUGAAUCCUCUCCAUGUUAAGCCUUGAGGUGAUUGUAGCUCCAUCAAAUACCUUCAUUGUAGCCUUGUGAGAGAUCUGAGUCAGAGGAUGGAGUUAAGCCAAGCCCAGAUUCCAGACCCUCAGAAACUUGAAAGCGGAAUACCUGGUUAUCCGGAGGUCACUGUCUCCACACAGAGUGGUGUCCUUGAUGCUAGCUUGGGGCAAAGAAGCCAGGCCAGCUUGUGGUUGCAAUAGGAAUAGAAGAGACUUCCUUACUCCAAUCCCACCCUACCCCCUCAUCCUGCCUCAACCAGUCAUGCAGAGAGAUGCUGAAUGGCUGCCUGCUCUCAGGGGAAUGAUUUGUGGAGGUUUAAUUAAAAUAAUUUAAUCAAUC
rnacentral:lncRNA from 1 species